rnacentral:scRNA from 1 species
AUAUCGGAAUACGCAUCUCCUCUAGGCUAAUGU